GGGGAAUCUUGCGCAAUGGGCGAAAGCCUGACGCAGCAACGCCGCGUGGGGGAUGAAGGCUUUCGGGUUGUAAACCCCUUUCAGCAGGGAUGAUAAUGACAGUACCGGGAGAAUAAGCCCCGGCUAACUCCGUGCCAGCAGCCGCGGUAAUACGGAGGGGGCUAGCGUUGUUCGGAAAUACUGGGCGUAAAGCGAACGUAGGCGGCUUGGCAAGUCAGGGGUGAAAUCCCAGUGCUCAACACUGGAACUGCCUUUGAAACUGCCAGGCUUGAAUCCUGGAGAGGCGAGUGGAAUUCCGAGUGUAGAGGUGAAAUUCGUAGAUAUUCGGAAGAACACCAGUGGCGAAGGCGACUCGCUGGACAGGUAUUGACGCUGAGGUUCGAAAGCGUGGGGAGCAAA
rnacentral:rRNA from 1 species